GAUGAACGCUGGCGGCGUGCCUAAUACAUGCAAGUCGAGCGAACGGACGAGAAGCUUGCUUCUCUGAUGUUGGCGGCGGACGGGUGAGUAACACGUGGAUAACCUACCUAUAAGACUGGGAUAACUUCGGGAAACCGGAGCUAAUACCGGAUAAUAUUUUGAACCGCAUGGUUCAAAAGUGAAAGACGGUCUUGCUGUCACUUAUAGAUGGAUCCGCGCUGCAUUAGCUAGUUGGUAAGGUAACGGCUUACCAAGGCAACGAUGCAUAGCCGACCUGAGAGGGUGAUCGGCCACACUGGAACUGAGACACGGUCCAGGCUCCUACGGGAGGCAGCAGUAGGGAAUCUUCCGCAAUGGGCGAAAGCCUGACGGAGCAACGCCGCGUGAGUGAUGAAGGUCUUCGGAUCGUAAAACUCUGUUAUUAGGGAAGAACAUAUGUGUAAGUAACUGUGCACAUCUUGACGGUACCUAAUCAGAAAGCCACGGCUAACUACGUG
rnacentral:rRNA from 1 species